rnacentral:lncRNA from 1 species
CACAAGUUUGGAAAAUUUCAUGUAUACAGGAGCCUCACUGAGAGUAUCGGAGACCCCGACAUACAUGAAAGUUUCAGAGACAGGAAAUGAGUGGUCCUCGGACCUUGCUGUCUUGAGCCCUUCAUGGACACUUUUGGCCCAUCUAUUUUUAUGUGAAGGAGUCUACAUUCCUCUUGGAAGAGGCCAUUCAUUGUCUUCCUACUAUAGGGAAGUAUUAAACGAGAGAGAGAGAUGAAAAGAACUUUCGUGAAAUAAAACAUCACAAAGGUAAUGAUACUGUGUUUGAGCU